GAGAGACCACAAGCGGGAUGAUGGAUCCGACCAUGAUGGUGUUGCAGAAACUUAUGUACGAGGUAGUUAUCCAGGGGUCGAAACACCAUCAUGGUCAGAUCCGUCAUCCCACUUAUGUUUUUUU
rfam:Arabidopsis lyrata subsp. lyrata unplaced genomic scaffold ARALYscaffold_2, whole genome shotgun sequence.